rnacentral:rRNA from 1 species
AAACUGAAGAGUUUGAUCAUGGCUCAGAUUGAACGCUGGCGGCAGGCUUAACACAUGCAAGUCGAGCGGUAACAGGGGGUGCUUGC